rnacentral:rRNA from 1 species
CAGUCGCCGCGGUAAUACAGAGGGUGCGAGCGUUAAUCGGAUUUACUGGGCGUAAAGCGUGCGUAGGCGGCUUCUUAAGUCGGAUGUGAAAUCCCUGAGCUUAAUUUAGGAAUUGCAUUCGAUACUGGGAAGCUAGAGUAUGGGAGAGGAUGGUAGAAUUCCAGGUGUAGCGGUGAAAUGCGUAGAGAUCUGGAGGAAUACCGAUGGCGAAGGCAGCCAUCUGGCCUAAUACUGACGCUGAGGUACGAAAGCAUGGGGAGCAAACAGGAUUAGAUACCCCUGUAGUCCCUGUCUCUUAUAC